rnacentral:rRNA from 1 species
GCCUUGCCAGCCCGCUCAAGAACUUAAAGGAAUUGACGGGGGCCCGCACAAGCGGUGGAGUAUGUGUUUAAUUCGAUGCAACGCGAAGACCUUACCUGGUCUUGACAUCCCGGAGACCCUUAGGAAACUAGGGGGUGCUUCCAUCUGGAAGAAUCUGGAGACAGGUGCUGCAUGGCUGUCGUCAGCUCGUGUCGUGAGAUGUUGGGUUAAGUCCCGUAACGAGCGCAACCCUUGUCCUUAGUUACCAGCACGUUAUGGUGGGCACUCUAAGGAGACUGCCGGUGACAAACCGGAGGAAGGUGGGGAUGACGUCAAGUCCUCAUGGCCUUUAUGACCAGGGCUACACACGUACUACAAUGGCCGAUACAAAGGGCAGCGACACUGCGAGGUGAAGCCAAUCCCGUAAAAUCGGUCUCAGUCCGGAUUGGAGUCUGCAACUCGACUCCAUGAAGUUGGAAUCGCUAGUAAUCGUGGAUCAGCAUGCCACGGUGAAUACGUUCCCGGGCCUU